rfam:Ovis aries breed Texel chromosome 17, whole genome shotgun sequence.
UCCCUGGUGGUCCACUGGCUAAGACUCUGCACUUUCAACGCAGGGGGCAUGGGUUCGAUCCCUGCCCAGGGAA